rnacentral:rRNA from 1 species
UACGGGAGGCAGCAGCCUACGGGAGGCAGCAGUGAGGAAUAUUGGACAAUGGGCGGGAGCCUGAUCCAGCCAUGCCGCGUGCAGGAAGACUGCCCUAUGGGUUGUAAACUGCCCUAUGUGACAGAAACUAAACACUCCCGCGGGAGGAAGCUUGAUCGGUACAGGAAGAAUAACGGAUCGGCUAACACCGUGCCAGCAGCCCGCGGCAAUACGGAGGAUCCAAGCGUUAUCCGGAAUCAUUGGGUUUAAAGGGUCCGUAGGUGGAUGAUGAAGUCAGAGGUGAAAUCCUGCAGCACAACUGUACAAGUGCCUUUGAUACUGGUUGUCUUGAAAUAUUGUGAAGUAGUUAGAAUAUGUAAUGUAGCGGUGAAAUGCAUAUGAUAUCACAUAGAAAACCGAUUGCCAAGGCAGACUACUAACAAUACAUUGACACUGAUGGACGAAAGCGUGGNGAGCGAACAGGAUUAGAUACCCUGGUAGACCAGGCCGUAUACGAUG